CUCGUAGGCGGUUCGUCGCGUCCGGUGUGAAAGUCCAUCGCCUAACGGUGGAUCCGCGCCGGGUACGGGCGGGCUUGAGUGCGGUAGGGGAGACUGGAAUUCCCGGUGUAACGGUGGAAUGUGUAGAUAUCGGGAAGAACACCAAUGGCGAAGGCAGGUCUCUGGGCCGUUACUGACGCUGAGGAGCGAAAGCGUGGGGAGCGAACA
rnacentral:rRNA from 1 species